rnacentral:rRNA from 1 species
GACAGAGGUGCCGAGCGUUAGGCGGAAUCACUGGGCUUAAAGCGUGUGUAGGCGGGUCCGUAAGUACCUUGUGAAAUCCCACGGCGUCAACCGUGGAAUCUGCGUUGGUAUACUGGCGGGUCUUGAGCCACCUAGGGGCAAGCGGAACAAGCGGUGGAGCGGUGAAAUGCGUAGAUAUCGCUUGGAACGCCAAUGGUGAAAACGAGCUU